rnacentral:rRNA from 1 species
GAUGAACGCUAGCGGCAGGCUUAACACAUGCAAGUCGAGGGGUAGAAGGAGCUUGCUCCUUUGAGACCGGCGCACGGGUGCGUAACGCGUAUGCAAUCUACCUUUUGCAGAGGGAUAGCCCAGAGAAAUUUGGAUUAAUACCUCAUAGUAUGUGAGGAUGGCAUCAUUUUCACAUUAAAGUCACAACGGCAAAAGAUGAGCAUGCGUCCCAUUAGCUAGUUGGUAAGGUAACGGCUUACCAAGGCUACGAUGGGUAGGGGUCCUGAGAGGGAGAUCCCCCACACUGGUACUGAGACACGGACCAGACUCCUACGGGAGGCAG